CCUACGGGAGGCAGCAGUAAGGAAUAUUGGUCAAUGGACGAAAGUCUGAACCAGCCAUGCCGCGUGAAGGAUGAAGGCCCUCUGGGUUGUAAACUUCUUUUAUAGGGGACGAAAAAAGGGCAUUCUUGCUCACUUGACGGUACCCUAGGAAUAAGCACCGGCUAACUCCGUGCCAGCAGCCGCGGUAAUACGGAGGGUGCAAGCGUUAUCCGGAUUUACUGGGUUUAAAGGGUGCGUAGGUGGGUUGGUAAGUCAGCGGUGAAAUCUUCGAGCUUAACUCGGAAACUGCCAUUGAUACUAUCAAUCUUGAAUCAUCUAGAGGUAAGCGGAAUAUGUCAUGUAGCGGUGAAAUGCUUAGAUAUGACAUAGAACACCAAUUGCGAAGGCAGCUUACUAUGGAUGUAUUGACACUGAGGCACGAAAGCGUGGGGAUCAAACAGGAUUAGAUACCCUGGUAGUCCACGCCCUAAACCUAUGGAUACUCGACAUUUGCGAUAUACUGUAAGUGUCUGAGNGAAGANAUAUAUCCACCNGGAGUAGANGCAGAUAGAACGUUAAAUAGUAGUAGAGCGNGAGAGAGACGACGGACGACACGAGGGAGGAGG
rnacentral:rRNA from 1 species